UACGAAGGGGGCUAGCGUUGUUCGGAAUUACUGGGCGUAAAGGGCGCGUAGGCGGUGUGUCAAGUCAGGCGUGAAAGCCCCGGGCUCAACCUGGGAACCGCGCUUGAGACUGGCACGCUAGAGUUCGGGAGAGGAUGGUGGAAUUCCCAGUGUAGAGGUGAAAUUCGUAGAUAUUGGGAAGAACACCGAUGGCGAAGGCAGCCAUCUGGACCGACACUGACGCUGAGGCACGACAGCGUGGGGAGCGAACAGG
rnacentral:rRNA from 1 species